AGGAGGGACAAUGAGAGGGUUUAAGACACAUGGAAAUCCAGGACAGGUCUAACUUGCUGAACAUGGCUUGACAGAAGAGAUUCCUUAUGCUGCUCAGUGCUUUGAUGGGAAACAACUUCAAAAAACCUUUUGAGAGAUCUAUAUCCUGCUUUGUGUAGUGAGGACGUGCACAAAACAACAACAUUAAGCUUCUCUGCCAGCUUUGGUAAUGGAUCUUUUUAUUCAAGACACAGAAACCGCAGACCACUGCCAUGAUGGUCCCCCCCCUCUUGGGCUCAAAUUUACAACAGAGCCCAUAAAACCACCGGGACAACAAGGUGUAGAAAGUUCUGAGAUUCCCACUGCUCCUCCUGUCCCUCCUAGAGUGAGAUUUCCCAGGGCAGGUUUCCCUCCGAGGUUAAGCAACCCUGUCCUACCCCCUCCCAUUCCACCCAGGAACAAAAUCUCCCUCACCAAUGAUGGGAAACAAUGGUCUUGGGACCUCUCUGAACUUGCUCAAAGGCUGGAUCUCUCUAAAUCAGUAGCAGAAAAUUAUAAUCCAUGGGCCAUCAGACUCGUAGAUGCUCCAGAAGGCAGCACCAAGCUUGAGUCAGCGUUUAGUGCUGCUAUUCUCAGGUUGAUGUCUCAGUACAAACACACUGACAGCGUUCAUAAUUCUGGACUUGUUUGGGGCCAGGUGCUCCGGAUCCACCCUGCUUUAUUACAGAAUGUUGAGAUAACGGUCAGUAUUCUCUCUGAGGGGCACAAAGACCCGCUGCCUUUCCCCACGACAGUGAACAGGACGGUGCAGAGUCUGAUCGAUGAAACCUUCCAGCUACUGGAUAUCACACCCAGCGCAGAUGCAAAGUAUCUUUUAAAGUUAUGCAUUUCAGAGGAGUAUCUCAGGAAUGAGGAGCAGCUGGGUAUGCACGAGACCAUUCAGACCUACGCUCGGUUCAACCGUAUUGUGCCACUCCGGUUGGUCAACACAAACCACCUUCAUCAAUUAUUGUGCAGAGAUAGUCGGUAUUGAACUCAACCCGUUCAAUACUCUAUCUGGGAAACUGCAGAUUCUCUCUGGUGCCGCUCAUGGAACCAAAGCUCUGACCACUGGGUUCAAAGGUAAACAAUGAUUUUUGUUUAAAAAAAAAAGACAGCCGAAUUGUAGAUAAUACUUUAAUUUACUUACUCAUGUAGUUUGGAGCUUUACAUUUUGUUUUGCGCAGUUUUGUUGUUUUUCUGAUUGGCGCUACAAUGGCUAUGGAGUUUGGUUAUCAGCGUCUCAAACAUUUCACAGGAACACAGACACACGCCCUCACCACACAUAAGGUAUUUAUAAUAAAAAUAUACUUAUUGAGUAAAAUAAAACA
rnacentral:lncRNA from 1 species